AGAGGGCGGGUCGGUCGGCUCCAAAGAACCGGCUGCUUGGCAGCCUCCGGGCCGAGGUGGCAUCGCUGCCUUGCGGGGCAGAGCCAACAAACGGGACGCCCGAGUGGUGAGAGAGAGAGAGAGAGAGAGACGGGCCGAUGGGGAAGAAGAGGAGGAGGAGGAGGAGGAGGAGGCGUCCGAAAGCGAGCGGGAGAGGAAAAAAAGCGCAAGGCGAACGGGUUCAGCUCCAAGCACGUGGCCCCUGAGCACGUACAGAGGGCGGAGGAGGAAAAGAUGGCCAGGGAACGAAGAUGGACGAGAUGGAGAAAAGGGAGGAAAAUAAACUGCAGCCUAUAGGAGGAAGGAUAAAAGCUAUUUUGCAUCCUUAAUCACCAGCUUCUACAGAUAGAAGAAGUGAUGGGGAUGUCCUGUAAUAUACAGGUAGUUCUCAAUUUACAACCACAACUGGGAAAAACAUUUCUGAUGCUAAGCACAGUGGUUGUUAAGUGAAUCGCGCCUAAUUUUGUUGGGAGAGCCGAGAAAGUCACAUAUAGCUGGGAAAGUCACAUAUGUGGCUCACAUGACCUUAGGAUCCUGCAACCCUUGUAAAUACAGGUUGCCAACUGCCUGAAUUUUGAUCACGUGAUCCUGGGGUUGUUGUGACGGUCAUUAGUGUGAGGACUCCCAAGUAAUUUUUUUCAGUGCCAUUGUAACUUUGAAUGGUUGCUAAAUGAAUGAUUGUAAUUCAAGGAUGGCCUCCAUAACGAAUUUCCUUUCUUGCCAUGGC